rnacentral:tRNA from 1 species
GUUAAUGUGGCAGACACAAGUGCAUUAGGUUUAAGCCCUAAAAAUAAUCAAAAUUCUUUAAUA